CUUGGAAUAAUUUUUGAGUACAUGGACAUUAAUUUCAGAGUAAUAAAAUAAUACGUAUCGGUCACAUGGGUGUUUUACAUUCAUCUCAAGUUGGGAUAAUAUUAAAUGGAAUGAUAAAUUGGGCUAGCUUAGCACGUGGGUAGGUUGUACCAAAACUAAACAUUACAUUCAUACGUAUACAUAGAACAAACAAACAGCAAAGCAAAGCCAAGCCAAGUCGGUUGAAAAACAGUACAAACUCCACUCACAAAAUAAAUAAAUAUAUAUAUAUAUAUAUAAUUAAAUGCAUCACAUUGAUGUUUACUACCGAGGGAAAAGGGAAGCAAAAAUAAUAGUCCGUCCAGUUGAAAUGAAUUGAAGAUCUGCCGCUUUUACGGGUAGACAUCCUCUGCAAUUAAUUAAUUGCAAGUACAAAAGCUGAAUGAGAAUGGAGCUCUGAUGAUUAAUUCCACAUAAAUUAGGAACACAGAUUACUGAUAAAUGUAAUUUGUACUAGAAAAAAUAUGAAAUGAGUUGCGAUUUCGUGUCUUAUAAUAUAUAUAACCUAUAAUUAUUAUAAACUCACCAUCCAACGUAUUUCUGCUUACUCGGCAGAUGUGACAAUUGACGCAUUGUGAUUCGACAGAAAAUCUGAAUUACUUCAGAACCAGCAGAGGCACUGUUAAUAACCGUGCUAUCUUCAAAAAUGUCAAGCAUCCUGUCCUAUUGUUAAAGUGGUGCAUAUCUUGAUCGCUGUAACAAAUAUCAUACAGCCUGGCACUUUACAUUUAGCACAAUCAAAUACUUGGAAUUAACUUAUAUAAGAACAUGCAUACCAAUUUGGACUAAAGCAAACUCAAAGAAUAUAGUAGAGCAAUGGCUUGAAUGGAAUGAGUGAUCAUCAUGUGAGGGCAUUACAGGCAGCAUGAAUAUAUUGUGUUCAACUGCAAAGCAGAUCCCAUAAUUUACUUUUGCAAGUUGUGGUCAGGCAUUAGCAAACAGUUAUGUUUACAGAGCCUCAGUACUUGUGGUGUUAUUGAAGUAAACCUAAGCAAGUAUAAGAUUGAAAAACUGAAGCAAUAUUCAUAAAGGCUCAGUAUCAACUAUCAAACUUAGAAAUUCUUUCUGCGAUUAUAACAUACACCUUAAAUGGUGAUUUCAAUCAAUCUAAGGCAAUGAUGGUUUAAUAAGAAGAUGGUGAACUGAAGUAUGAGCUAUACUCUGUAACACCCCCUUCCCUAAAAGGAAAGGGAGGUCACGUGCAAAGCAUAAAAAAAACCUCAAAAUAAAUAAACAGAGCACUAACCUCAAAAUAUUAACAGUGGUGAUCAAUUAAUAAAGUACUAAAUACAAUUCUCCAACUAGAGUCAAAAUAAUCAAAAUUAAAAACUUAAUCAACCUAGAUGGUCAAAGGCAUCACUCUCAUCACACUAGUCCUGAAUCACCCCUGCAAACCUGCCGGAAGAAAAACACAGCAUGAGCCAAUUGUCCAGUACGGAUAUAGAUAAUACAAAGAUGUAUAACUGAUAUACGAAAACAACUGAGACAAAAUACUGAACAAAGCCUCAAGUGUAAAUACUAACGAAAAUAUAAUCUCCAAAGAUCCAAAUGGAAUAUAUCUGAAUCAACAGAAUUGACGAAACCAAUAGAAGAAUAAAGAAAUAAGGAACUAAAGUAACUAACUCAAUGAAUUGAACUGAACAGAAACCAACAAAAUUAAUACAAUAAAAUAAUAGGCUGAAACAAAUGGCUGGAGUUAUUUCAUACCGAAUGAGCUCAAAAAUAUACAUUGCCACACAUGCAAGUCAAACUAAUGCCACACAGGCAAAUCAAAUGAUGCCACAUAAACAACCAAAAUAAUGCCACACAGGCACAUCAAAACAAUACCACACAGGCAAAUCACACAUUGGACCGCGAAUUCAAAUGUAUGCAAAUCGGAUAGGUGUGUUUGGCACAACAUCACAAAUCCGCAGAACAGAAAACUAGGGUUAACCCAUACGCCUCCCACAACAAAACACCAAAUGGCCCACUUCCUCCGGAGCCCAAAACGGAGACGCCGUGGACUAAUCACACCGCCACGGAAAGUGUCAUGCCUCUCGUGCCAAGACGACAUGCCUGUGGUACCCCCACAGGUGGUUAUAGCUCAGGUAUACCCUACGGUAUAUUCUAACAAAAAUAUCAUGUCACAACACAUGCGACAUAAUACCAACAAAAGGGUUCUAUAUGUACAUGUUGAACCAAAUCAAAUUAUAGUCACAAGGUUUCAAAAAGAAGGUAGCAACAUGUACCGCUCUACAAUUAUCAAAAUAAAUAUUAGACAUGAUAACCUCAUUCAAAGAGUACAAGUACGAGUCCAAUGUGUCAACUCCAAAAUGAAAUAAAUAUAUCAAUUUCACAAAAAACAAUUAUGUGAAAUAAUAACAGAAAUUCGAAACGAAGAACAAAACGAACAAAUCAAAUUUAACAAAGGUAUCGCUGAAAGAGUACGGAAUCCGUACCUGAUACUUCCAAAUUAUUUAUAGCACACUCCACAAAAUGUUACCCUCAAAUGCCAACGAUAUCAAAUACGAAACGUUAUUCGCAACCUAUAACAUAUUCACCUCAAAUUAAAAACAACUCAAACUAAUAAUUCUAAAAUAAUUCAUAAUCUAUUUAAUAUGCCUUUAAUCAAUUAUUAAUACUCCAAAAUUUAUAUUCCAAAUAUAACUCUGUAAAUUCCCUCCGUCCGACCUAAUAAAAUACAAUAAAAUUUUAUUACAAAUCUAACCAUUGCUAACAUACUAUUAUUUAAUUUAUAUUUAAGUAAAUCUAUAAUUUAUCAUUAGAAUUAGUUAAUUUAUAAAUAACAUAGGUUGGUUAAUAUAAUAUAAAUAAUAUAAUACCUAUACUAUUAAUAACUUACCACAUAUAUGUAUAUAUGUUGCCUAACAGAUCAUGUAUAUGACAAAACAUAUAUAUAUAUAUAUAUAUAUAUAUAUAUAUAUAUAUAUACCGUACUAAUAUAUCUAUAUAUAUAUCUACUAUAGAGCAGCAUGAAUCAGACCUUCCUUUUUUUUUCUUUUUUUUUAGCAGCAGGUUCAACAUAUAUAUAUAAACACAGUUCAAUGUCUUCCGCUCCAACCAAGGCAAAUCUGACAAUCUCUACAAAUGGCCUUUAGUAUUAUAAAAUAUGCAUUUAGAAUCCCACAUGGAAGUUCAUUAUUUAAGUCAACACUUUCCUCCAUAUUAUACUCACGGAAGAAGCUUAAAUUAACAAAAAAGUAUGGUUUUUACCCCUUUCCUUGAUGAACUCUUUUAUAGUUGUUGAAUUCAAUACUCUCUAAUUGCUAAAUGAUCACAUCAGAAAUAAACAAAUAAUUAACAACUUACAUGAUUAACAAUUCUUCCAGUUCCUUCAAGCUUCAGCCGCCUUCUCUCCUUUUCUCUCCACCAAUUCGUAAUAAAAUAGGUGAGGACGAUUAGGUUUAGUUAUUUAUUUAUUAAUUUAUUAACUCUCCAAAUUUAAAUAGGAUUUUAAUAAUACCCAAAUACAAAAUAGACCCAAUUAGUAUAAAAGCCCAAAUUAAUGUAAUCACAUACUUAUUAUAUAGUUCACACAAAUUUAAUACAAUUUGACCCAAACAUAAGAAAAGCUCAAUUAAAAUAUGGAUUUAAAUAUUAUUAUUAUUUUUAUUUUUAUUUUUUUUACCGGGUAUUACAUAUACUUUGUGUAGACCGGCAAUGUGGUUUAUCAGAUACACACUUUUAGAAUAAAGAUUAAUUAAAUAAAUCCAAUACCAAAUUGGUGGUGGAGAUUUGAGGGGAUGAUGACGUGGAUUAGAAAGGACCAAUGGGAUAUUUGAUUAUUUUUUUUUGGGUUGUGUUACAUAGCGCUGAAUUUGGAUGAUUGUUUAGUAAUUAAUUAGCUUUGAUUUCAAAAGAAUAUGAUUUGUUUCUAGAGAGAGUAAAAACUUCAGAGAGUAAAAAAAUUUAGAGAGAGAAUGUAUAAAAAAAAUUAGUGAGAGAAGAUAAAAAGAAUAUAAGAAAUUAAUAUAUUAAAUAAUCUAUUUUAUUAGGACAUAAAUAAUAAGCUUGAAAUUUGAAAAAUGAGUUGACUUAUAUUGGAUUCAUAACAAUUUGGUUAUAACCCAUAUAGCUCAUAUUAAAAAUAAGUAAUAUGGUUUUAGUUUUUAAUGGACCCAUAACCAUAUUCUAUAACCCAUAACCAUAUUCUAUAACCCAUAACCAGACUAAAUCCAUUUUUUGUCGUCUAAUUUUGUGUAAUCCUUUCUCAAAAGUAACUAAAAGAGGGAUUGAAGUCGGUCUGGACACAUGAUCUUAAUCAUCCACAAGAUUUAGGUUGUGUUUAUUAAAAUUGAAUGUUAAGAUCUGAAUAAUUAAGACAUCAGAAUAAUUUAGAGCAUUUGUUUAAAAUUGUAUCUGAAUGAAAAAAUGUUGUUUGAUAACUAAUUUUUUCAAAUUGUCUAAAUAACAGUAUUUUACCAUUUUAACUCUCUGAUCCUAAAAAACGAGACUAUCGCUCAUCUCCAUUUUUUUCAACUUUUACAGCCCAUUUUUCUAGACUGAUCCACUCUUGUACUUUUUUAAGCUUUUCUAGUUCUUCUUUAAAGAUCAGAACUAUAAUGAAACAAAAAUCCUCAUGACAACUAUUUUCCUUGUCUGGAUGCAUUGUUCUUCACAUAAUGUUCGAAUCUCCUCUGUCUCUAGGGUCCAUUGUGAAAGUAAUUAUGCAAAUCUCCAAAUUAUUUACAAGCGAGACUUUUUUUUCAUGAAUUUGUUUAACAACGAAAUGGGUAUGAGAUUUGGUGGGUUUUUUUCAUGAAAAUGAUCAAAAACGAAUUGGGUCUCUGUAAUGGGUGUUGAUUCUUGGGAUCUAAAAUUAUAGAGUGAUAGAUUUGAGGUGUUCAAGAAUAAAAUUUGAUCUAGUUAAUUUGGGCUAUUGUGGGUCAUUUUGAUGAGAUUCUUGCUCUUGUUUUUCUUUAUUUUGUUGUUUUUUUUAUUUGAUAAUAUUGAUAUGAAAAAGAUAGUGCCUAUCAUCAAAUUUAGAAGAACAAACAAAAUAGUGGAAGAAAACCAGCUGUUUAUGGAUGCCCAGAUCAAAUGAUUUGAUGCAAGAGGGAUUCUUUGCUUUGUUCUUUAAUUUGUGUAUUUUAUUAGAGGGAUACAAGAGGAAUUUUGUAGUAUUGAAAAUAUUAUUUUGGCCCAAAAAAGACAACUUUCAUUCAAAUUUUCCUCUAAACAGUUUAGAUUUAAUUUUAUAUCUCAACGAUUUAGAGGCAUUCAGAGGAAAAAAAAAGUUCACCAAACAACUUCAUGCCUCGUAGCGAAUAAGAGGUAGGUUGUUAAGAUGCAUUAAGAUGCAAUCAAACAUCAACUAUAAAACAUAUCAUGUUCAUAAAAGGUUGUUAAUUGUGUGGAAGCAUGAUUAAGUUAAAAGGAUCCAGUGUGGAUAUUAUGUUUAACUCUUCUGCCAAGAACUUAAUUCUUCAUAUUUCUCCACAUUCUUGAGAAUAUAUGGUAAAAUUGGAGAAGAUGCAGAGAAAUUUAGUUUUAUGGGACGUUUUACUAGUUCUUAGAAUCAUCUAGCCCAUUAUUUAUGUUACUCUUAUCUAUUUAUGCCAUGCACGCAUCUAAACUAGAAUUCUUAUUCUUCAUAUAUAGCAAAGAAAAUAAAAUUUUAAACUUUUCUUUUAUUCAAGCGGUUAGUGAAAGUUACUAUAAAUUGUAGUCCACAAUUCUUCUUUUUAUGUUUACAGGCAGAUUUACUCACCCCAAUUUCUUCUCCUUAUAUCUACCUAAACAAGAAUUUUUAUUAUUUUCCUAUCACUAGAUUUGCCAACCGAAGUAUGAAAAAAUUUCUCUUUUUUAUUCAGAUUUAUAUAUAAUUAUGUUCUGUAACAUUUGUAAUGAAUAUAUAUAUAUAUAUAUAUAUAUAUAUAUAUAUUCUUACAAUUGAAAUAUAUUGCACAAGUAUCGUGUGUGCUCAAAAAACACGUUAGACUCAAAAGUCAAUCAAGUCAUGUUCAGAAUUAAACAUGAGCAUGUAAAAAGGCUGACAAAUAUUUCAAACCCAAAUGCAUAAACUAUGAUGUAAACGCAAUAAUAAAUGACACAGUGUCAAUAGAAAAAUCAUACCUUCAUUGAGUAGCCAAGAGUCAAAGACAAGUAAGCUUAGGAUGUGCGCUAAUAGAUAGAGAUGAUGAUGGCACCUAACAGUACCAACAUCCACUACUAUGUCAAGUACAUCCCUAAGGUGGGUGUCAAGGAAUUACCCUAUGGAGUAUGGACCUCAAGUGGUAAAAUACAGCUCCUUGACCUGCCAUUUGGGCACCAUUAUUAAGUGGAACUACUGAUCAUGGCAGCACACUAAACAAAAACUGUAUGACCAUAAGGUGGAUUUUUUUUUCAGAUUCAUAAUAAUCUAAACAAUUCAAAGAAGAAACUACAAAAUAUAAUUCGGAUAAUAAGAAAAUCAACAACAAAAAAUAUUUUAUUUGAGUAAUAUCUGUAGACAUUGUGAGGGCAUUACAGGCAGCAAAAACACGAGUAAGCUGAAGCUGCAAAGCGGAUCCCCCAUAACUUAAUUUUGCACUACAUUGAGAUCAGGCAUCUGGAAACUUAGUAGUUACAGAGCCUGAGUACUCGUGCGAUAAUACACUUAUUUAAUAAUCUUUAUGCAACUACGGAAGGAGGGAAAACACUAUUCAGACAAGGUAAAUGUCCAUUUUUUCAGACAAGGUAAAUGACCAUAAGGAGGAAUUUUUUUCAGAAUCAUAAUAAUCUAAACAAUUCAAAGAAGAAACUACAAAAUAUAAUUCGGAUAAUAAGAAAAUCAACAACAAAAAAUAUUUUAUUUGAGUAAUAUCUGUAGACAUUGUGAGGGCAUUACAGGCAGCAAAAACACGAGUAAGCUGAAGCUGCAAAGCGGAUCCCCCAUAACUUAAUUUUGCACUACAUUGAGAUCGGGCAUCUGGAAACUUAGUAGUUACAGAGCCUUAGUACUCGUGCAAUAAUACACUUAUUUAAUAAUCUUUAUGCAACUAUGGAAGGAGGGGAAACACGAUUCAGACAAGGUAAAUGUCCAUUUUUUCAGACAAGGUAAAUGAUCAUAAGGUGGAAUUUUUUUCAGAUUCAUAAUAAUCUAAACAAUUCAAAGAAGAAACUACAAAAUAUAAUUCGGAUAAUAAGAAAAUCAACAACAAAAAAUAUUUUAUUUGAGUAAUAUCUGUAGACAUUGUGAGGACAUUACAGGCAGUAAAAACACGGGUAAGCUGAAGCUGCAAAGCGGAUCCCCUAUAACUUAAUUUUGCACUACAUUGAGAUCAGGCAUCUGGAAACUUAGUAGUUACAGAGCCUCAGUACUAGUGCCAUAAUACACUUAUUUAAUAGUCUUUAUGCAACUAUGGAAGGAGGGAAAACACGAUUCAGACAAGGUAAAUGUCCUUUUUUUUCAUUUUCUUAAAAUAAAAAAUAUAAAAAAGUUUAAAAAAAUUGGCUCUCAAAUGGGACAUUAAUUGUGGAGAAAAGGACUCACAUAUCACGUAAUUGCAAUCACCAUUCCAGUAACUAGGAGGCAAACAGAAAUUCUACAAUUUGAAGUAGAAAUAGAGCCUACUAAUUUUUCUUUUCCAACAAAAAAAAAAAUUGUGGAUUUGUACAUUUAUGUCUAAGCUUCAAGAAGAGCAUUAGCAAUCAUUUGUAGAUAACAGCCAAACAUAACACACUUACAUCCAAGCUUCAAACAUAUAUAGUUACCUGCUUUCAGAAUCGAGCUUGAUGCCAUUGCCAUGGUGAGCUCAACUCACAGUGGGAGUUAAAUGUAAGGAUAAUUUUUAGUAUUUAUUGACGAACGAACAUAUAAAUUAGGGCACUACUGCAGAAAGUAAAACCUAAAAAGUGCUCUGUAC
rnacentral:lncRNA from 1 species